CUCUGCUCUAUAAGCCUCAUCCUCUUCUCCCCAAACUCCCCCAUCUCUUGCCUCUAGAUUAAGAGGAAGCUAAGGUGAGGUUGGAUCAUCUUCUUCUCCUCUUGUACCUUGGAAGCUUGAAGGACGUGAGGCAUCAGCUAAGGGGAAAGGACUAGUGGAAGGUUAACACCAGAGUAGGAUGGCUCGCCAAGUUUGUGGUACGGCAUAUCGGUGUAGACGCUUUGUGCUUGGCAAGAGUCCAUAUUUAGUGUGUUUACUUGGAGUCCUUUGUAUGUUUAUUUCCAGUUUAUGGUUUGUAUUA